AGAUCCCCAGGCCUUCUGCACAGGAAGAUGAGGGCACCCGCUGGAAACAAAGCCUUGGAGAACACAAGAGGUUCUUCGAACCUGCAUCCUGGACCCCCACCCUCUCUCAGGUUACAGAGCCCAGAACUCAGCCCCGGGGAUGAAGCUUUGGUACAGGCCAAGACUCACGGCUCCGGUGCAGCAACGACCUACUUAGAGCCCGCCCACUGGUGACAAGAAGCAGGGGACAGCUGAGCCUUCUGGAUGCAGGUACUUCCUCUCACUCCCACCAUCUCGUCCACAACUGAGCUCUGCUUCGACAAGGCAUGCAGCAUGGAUCGGCAGCCCGUGUGCAAUGCCGUCAGACAAGAAGGACAUUUCAUAUACAUUUGUUUGUGUUGUUUGACUUUUCCGACUGGCAUAAGAGACUGCAUUACCUAUUAUUAAUAAUAAUAUGGAUUAAUAAUACUAAUACUGUAUUAUGUUUGUUUUGUGUGCGUUGUAUUAUCGCACCAAUCCAGCUCAAAUAAAACAUUGUAUGACUUCUGCUUUCCAUUUCUCUGCAAA